GGAAUUGCAGUAGUAGUAUUACAGCAAAGAAGAAACAACACAGAUAGCACUCGAAGCUGACACUACACAGACCAAAUGGCAAAGAGGCCCUGCAUAGAAAAUGUAAAACUAUCGUUGAGUCUGAAUUUGGCCCCAGGCCCUCUAGCUCUUUCAUGAAAGGCUGUUACUGAACAAAUGAAGAUUUAACCAGCUCAAGCAUCAAACCGCACAUUCCAGUUUGCUAAAA
rnacentral:lncRNA from 1 species